AUUGAACGCUGGCGGCAUGCCUUACACAUGCAAGUCGAACGGUAACGGGCCUUCGGGUGCCGACGAGUGGCGAACGGGUGAGUAAUGCAUCGGAACGUACCUUUCAGUGGGGGAUAACGUAGCGAAAGUUACGCUAAUACCGCAUAUUCUGUGAGCAGGAAAGCAGGGGAUCGCAAGACCUUGCGCUGAUUGAGCGGCCGAUGUCAGAUUAGCUAGUUGGUGAGGUAAAGGCUCACCAAGGCGACGAUCUGUAGCGGAUCUGAGAGGAUGAUCCGCCACACUGGAACUGAGACACGGUCCAGACUCCUACGGGAGGCAGCAGUGGGGAAUUUUGGACAAUGGGGGCAACCCUGAUCCAGCCAUGCCGCGUGAGUGAAGAAGGCCUCGGUUGUAAGAC
rnacentral:rRNA from 1 species